UUUGUGGAGAGUUUGAUCCUGGCUCAGGACGAACGCUGGCGGCGUGCUUAACACAUGCAAGUCGAACGGAAAGGCCUGAAGCUUGCUGCGGG
rnacentral:rRNA from 1 species